GAACUUACACUACAACACUUGGGACUGAUUCCAGCCAAUCUACAAAUGUCUGCAAAUCAAGUACUUAGGUCUGGCCCAGUUUGUCAAGGAGCAGAACACUGCUAGUUUUGGUUUCAGAAGUGUAGGCUUCAAACAGGAGAAAGCAAUGCAGAAUGUUUUACCACCGUACGGUGAUGAGUUAAAUGGUAAAUCAGUUUCAGCAGCUUCUUUACAGCAGGCCACUGUUCCUGUUACGUCCAGCAUUCUGGAUAAUUGCCAUGACUUCCAAGCAUCAUGUGAGUCAGCUGUAGUUCCUGAGUUUUGUUCAUCCUUUCAUGAAUCAGAUAGAAUAUCUCAAGCAACACUAGCAAUUCCACAAAGAGAACAUGGUGUUUCAACAGAAGAUAAAUUUUGAGUUGGUAUAAAAUAUUGUUGAAACUCUUCCCCCAAACAGAUACGAUUGAAACACUUAUUUCUGGUAUUAUAAAUGUGUACUCUGGAAAUAAUACUUGAUCAUAAUGAUGACUUCUUCAUGCUUGAAUAUAUAUAUAUGUAAGGACACACACCAUUGUCUGUAAAAACACCACUUAAAGAAGCAAUUUGGAACAAUUCCAUUAAAUGUCUGACUUCAUAGUUGUGUGGAAUAAGAAAGCUCUUGUUCGUUAUUUGUAUAGAAACAUACUAAAUAAGUACUGGCACAUUGCAAGUACCAAACAUGUAAUAUAUUGUAUUUUUAAAAAAACUAUUAAGGAGGCUCUUGUUACUUAAGUUUACAUAACAUUUUAAUUUUGUGUGUUCUUUAAUACUGUUGCAAAGUUUUAAAAUCUUAAUCACGUCUGUGUAAAUUUUAAGGUUUAUUUAAGGGAUUAAUCAAUUUCUUCAAAUUAAAUUUUGUGUCAGUUUUCUAACUUUU